rnacentral:rRNA from 1 species
GGGAAUCUACCGAGCCCUGCGGAAUAGCUCCGGGAAACUGGAAUUAAUACCGCAUACGCCCUACGGGGGAAAGAUUUAUCGGGGUUUGAUGAGCCCGCGUUGGAUUAGCUAGUUGGCGGGGUAAAGGCCUACCAAGGCGACGAUCCAUAGCUGGUCUGAGAGGAUGAUCAGCCACAUUGGGACUGAGACACGGCCCAAACUCCUACGGGAGGCAGCAGUGGGGAAUAUUGGACAAUGGGCGCAAGCCUGAUCCAGCCAUGCCGCGUGAGUGAUGAAGGCCCUAGGGUUGUAAAGCUCUUUCAACGGUGAAGAUAAUGACGGUAACCGUAGAAGAAGCCCCGGCUAACUUCGUGCCAGCAGCCGCGGUAAUACGAAGGGGGCUAGCGUUGUUCGGAAUUACUGGGCGUAAAGCGCACGUAGGCGGAUAUUUAAGUCAGGGGUGAAAUCCCGGGGCUCAACCUCGGAACUGCCUUUGAUACUGGGUAUCUUGAGUAUGGAAGAGGUAAGUGGAAUUGCGAGU